UGUCGCGCCGGAGCGCGGACUUGCGGUUCUGCCGCGUGUGGCUGCGCGCGACGGCGGUACUCGGGACCGUCGGCGUCGCGUUCCAUGCGCGCGGCGUCGC
rnacentral:tRNA from 1 species